ensembl:miRNA predicted gene, 26455
CAGAUCUUAUCUUCUGCCUUUCCCAGGUGUGGAAACUGAGGCAGGGGGAGGUGAAGGGGCUUGUCUAAAGCCACUAUGGGAGUGUUGAGGGA